CCUACGGGUGGCAGCAGUGGGGAAUAUUGGGCAAUGGGCGCAAGCCUGACCCAGCAACGCCGCGUGAAGGAAGAAGGUUUUCGGGUUGUAAACUUCUUUUCUCAGGGACGAAGAAAGUGACGGUACCUGAGGAAUAAGCCACGGCUAACUACGUGCCAGCAGCCGCGGUAAUACGUAGGAGGCAAGCGUUAUCCGGAUUGAUUGGGGGUAAAGGGCGUGUAGGCGGGUGCGCAAGUCAGUUGUGAAAACCCAGGGCUCAACCCUGAGCCUACAUUUGAAACUGUGUUUCUUGAGUGCAGGAGAGGCAAUCGGAAUUCCGUGUGUAGCGGUGAAAUGCGUAGAUAUACGGAGGAACACCAGUGGCGAAGGCGGAUUGCUAGACAGUAACUGACGCUGAGGCGCGAAAGCGUGGGGAGCAAACAGGAUUAGAUACCCCUGUAGUC
rnacentral:rRNA from 1 species